ensembl:ncRNA T24B8.15 ncRNA
ACCCUCUCACUUUUCCAUCUCAUUCUCUCUCUCUCUCUCACUUUUUUCACAUUUCAACAGAAGACUACAAGAGAAUUUUAAUAACCGACCGACUCCUGACGGUGCAAAUAUCGUUUCGAGCAUGUCUAUUUGCUUG